UACGGAGGGUGCGAGCGUUGUCCGGAAUCACUGGGCGUAAAGGGCUCGUAGGCGGCCAACUAAGUCAUACGUGAAAUCCCUCAGCUUAACUGGGGAACUGCGUGUGAUACUGGAUGGCUUGGAUUUGGGAGAGGGAUGCGGAAUUCCAGGUGUAGCGGUGAAAUGCGUAGAUAUCUGGAGGAACACCGGUGGCGAAGGCGGCAUUCUGGACUGUAACUGACACUGAGGAACGAAAGCCAGGGGAGCAAACGGG
rnacentral:rRNA from 1 species